rnacentral:lncRNA from 1 species
AGAAAGAAAGGGUGCAAUAAAUUUGUGGUUAAGUAAGUUACGUGCGGGGGGAGUUAAAAGGAGGGGCCCGGGACUGGGAGCUAUUGCUUGCUUGCUUGUUUGUUUUUGUUUGUUUAAAGCAACUGAGCGACGUUUUGCAUGAAUUGAAUGAGAUUAAUGAGUGCUGGAGAGUGACGUGCAACUGCUACGAGUUGAGACGGAUGAUGGAUGGAACAGUUUGAUAGAGAUGGACGGUUUGUCAUUUAAAUUACGAGGCCUAGUGGUCAGUCCUGCAGCAUUUAAGUGGCAGUGUAUUUUGAACUGGAAAUACGGUACAAGCGAGCUUGGAUGUACAAAUUUGCUGCAAUUUAUUGUUACGAUCUUGCACU